GAUGAACGCUGGCGGCGUGCCUAAUACAUGCAAGUCGAGCGAACAGAUGAGGAGCUUGCUCCUCUGACGUUAGCGGCGGACGGGUGAGUAACACGUGGAUAACCUACCUAUAAGACUGGGAUAACUUCGGGAAACCGGAGCUAAUACCGGAUAAUAUAUUGAACCGCAUGGUUCAAUAGUGAAAGACGGUUUUGCUGUCACUUAUAGAUGGAUCCGCGCCGCAUUAGCUAGUUGGUAAGGUAACGGCUUACCAAGGCAACGAUGCGUAGCCGACCUGAGAGGGUGAUCGGCCACACUGGAACUAGGACACGGUCCAGACUCCUACGGAGGCAGCAGUAGGGAAUCUUCCGCAAUGGGCGAAAGCCUGACGGAGCAACGCCGCGUGAGUGAUGAAGGUCUUCGGAUCGUAAAACUCUGUUAUUAGGGAAGAACAAAUGUGUAAGUAACUAUGCACGUCUUGACGGUACCUAAUCAGAAAGCCACGGCUAACUACGUG
rnacentral:rRNA from 1 species